rnacentral:rRNA from 1 species
UAAAGCUCGUAGUUGGAUUUGUGGUGCGACGGAUCGGUCCGACCUUUGGUGGGUACUCGAUGUUGUCACGCCAUCCUUGAGUGGUUCGUCCUGGCAUUAAGUUGUCGGGGCGGCAGCCGCUCAUCUUUUACUGUGAGAAAAUUAUAGUGUUCAAAGCACGCUUAUGCCGUUGAAUAUACUAACAUGGAAUAAUAAAAUACGACCUCGGUACUAUUUUGUUGGUUUGAGAACCAAGGUAAUGAUCAAUACGGACAGUUGGGGGUAUUCGUAUUCACUUGUCAGAGGUGAAAUUCUUACAUUUACGGAACACCAACUACUGCAAAAGCAUUUACCAAGGAUGUUUUCAUUAAUCAAGAACUAAAUUAUGGGGAUCUGAAGAUAGCAUCUAAAUACCAAUCGUAAUACAAUAGAUAGGACCUCGGUACUACUUUUGUUGGUUUGAGAACCUGGGUAAUGAUUCACAUCAGGGACUCGUUGGGGGUAUAUCGAUAUAUCAUAUCUCUCGCCCCAGGUGAAAUUACUUAAGACUCUCCGGAAUCACGAACGUAGCUGCGCCAUAGCGUUUACGCACAAGCAUAUAUUCAUUAAUGUCCCUGAAACGAAAUUGUUCGGGGGAAUCUGAA